rnacentral:lncRNA from 1 species
CCGGCCCUACCCCUAUUUCUACAGGGAUCGUUUCCUCUGCAUCUCUGCACCAAAAUAUGUCACUACAGGAUUUCAAGACAAACUAAAGUCUUUCGGCAGACUAGAAAGCUCACCGGGUUGAGCGUGGCGGCAAUCGCACACGCUUCUUCUCGGCAACAGGGUCACGGUUCUCCUUUUAUAGUACAAGGAGGACAUCGGGGUUACAGGUGAGACCGGGUGUGAGGAGAAGUAAAAG